UGCCAGCAGCCGCGGUAAUACGGAGGGGGUUAGCGUUGUUCGGAAUAACUGGGCGUAAAGCGCACGUAGGCGGAAUGUUAAGUGAGGGGUGAAAUCCCAGGGCUCAACCCUGGAACUGCCUUUCAUACUGGCAAUCUAGAGAUCGAGAGAGGUGAGUGGAAUUCCGAGUGUAGAGGUGAAAUUCGUAGAUAUUCGGAGGAACACCAGUGGCGAAGGCGACUCACUGGCACAUUUCUGACGCUGAGGCGCGAAAGCGUGGGGAGCAAACAGGAUUAGAUA
rnacentral:rRNA from 1 species